rnacentral:tmRNA from 1 species
GGGGUUGUACUGGUUUCGACGGGGGUUUUGAAGUUCGGGGCGCCAUCCGCAGACCGUGGCUGCGUCAUUAAAACGGAACCUAAAUAUAAACGCUAACAACGAUUACGCGUUAGCCGCCUGAUGCGGCUUGUCGGCCCGGGGCUGCCUACCACCUCGGUCACCGGCAUCAUGAAGGGUGGGGCACUGCCAUGCUUAAGCUUUGCGGCGUGGUUAGUAUCAUGAAGCUACUUAGGCUUUAAGCCCGUCUGCGGGCGUUCGGCCGAGGGAAUGUUUGAUCGCAGACUAUGAUGGUAGGGCCCGGGAGGGAUAGGCUUUCGGACAGGGGUUCGAUUCCCCUCAGCUCCA